rnacentral:rRNA from 1 species
AGAGUUUGAUCAUGGCUCAGAUUGAACGCUGGCGGAAUGCUUUACACAUGCAAGUCGAACGGCAGCACGGGGGCAACCCUGGUGGCGAGUGGCGAACGGGUGAGUAAUACAUCGGAACGUGCCCAAUCGUGGGGGAUAACGUAGCGAAAGCUACGCUAAUACCGCAUACGAUCUACGGAUGAAAGCGGGGGAUCGCAAGACCUCGCGCGAAUGGAGCGGCCGAUGGCAGAUUAGGUAGUUGGUGGGGUAAAGGCUCACCAAGCCAACGAUCUGUAGCUGGUCUGAGAGGACGACCAGCCACACUGGGACUGAGACACGGCCCAGACUCCUACGGGAGGCAGCAGUGGGGAAUUUUGGACAAUGGGCGAAAGCCUGAUCCAGCCAUUCCGCGUGCAGGAUGAAGGCCUUCGGGUUGUAAACUGCUUUUGGACGGAACGAAAAGCCGCUUUCUAAUACAGAGCGGUCAUGACGGUACCGUCAGAAUAAGCACCGGCUAACUACGUG